rnacentral:rRNA from 1 species
GACGAACGCUGGCGGCGUGCUUAACACAUGCAAGUCGAACGGAAAGGCCCCAGCUUGCUGGGGUACUCGAGUGGCGAACGGGUGAGUAACACGUGGGUGAUCUGCCCUGCACUCUGGGAUAAGCCUGGGAAGCUGGGUCUAAUACCGGAUAGGACCGUGCUUUAGUGUGUGCGGUGGAAAGUUUUUCGGUGCAGGAUGAGCCCGCGGCCUAUCAGCUUGUUGGUGGGGUAAUGGCCUACCAAGGCGGCGACGGGUAGCCGGCCUGAGAGGGUGUACGGCCACAUUGGGACUGAGACACGGCCCAGACUCCUACGGGAGGCAGCAGUGGGGAAUAUUGCACAAUGGGCGCAAGCCUGAUGCAGCGACGCCGCGUGGGGGAUGACGGCCUUCGGGUUGUAAACCCCUUUCGGCAGGGACGAAGCUUUUGUGACGGUACCUGCAUAAGAAGCACCGGCUAACUACGUG